AAAAAAGAGGGCUAUUGUGACAAAAUUUUGAGACAAAUUGUUUUUGUCACAAAUUUGUGACAUUCUAGUGACAUUAAUGUGACUAAAAUUUUCAGUCAUAUUAUAGUAGCUGUUUAGUCACAAUAUUGUGACAAUCUAAGUGGUAGUUAAUUUUCGUCACAAACUGUGACAUUUUAGAGACAUUAAUGUGACUAAAAUUUUUUAGUCAUAAAAUAGUAACUGUUUAGUCAUAAUAUUGUAACGAUUUAAGCCGUUGUUAAUUUUCGUCAGAAUUAGUAACAUAAAUAUGCCGAAAAGAGAUUUCGUAACAAUCGUGACAUAACAAUAACUUUUUGACCGUUAAUGUGUGAAUUUUUGGCAGAACAGAGAGUUUCAAAUUGUGGCGAAAGAAAAACUAAAUCUUAGUUACUAAUUGGUAUAAACCAAUGCAUAUUAAACUGUUGUAAAUAUGAGAAGCAAGUUGGAGGUUUACUAAACUACUAACAUUUAUUUAUUUAUUUCUUCUAAUUGGUGUUAUGAAUAUAAUAAAGAGAUAAAUUAUGCAAACAUUUAUAUAUUUUGGUCUCGUAAUCAUGCUACAUUUAAGAAAUUUUGCAAAAAAUUUGAUUUCAGUGCAAUGUAACAUUAAAGUAAUGAUCCAGUUGUUCACACUGAUUCUUUGUACAAGUAUACGUGUGCAACUAAAACUAUAAAAUAUUAAUCUAGUUUUUUUUUGUCAACAAUAUUAAUCUAGUUAAAGUUAGAAUUUUCUGUGUGAAGAAAAGAGUGGAUAUAUUGUUUUAAGAGAUAUAAAUAUUCAUUGUCGUUUAUGUAAUAUAGUUAUAUAAAAUUAAAUGGAAGUGUUAGCGAACCUAUGUUAUGGAAAUGAAAUAAAUAAAAUGGCAAUGGAGAGAUAGAAAUUUUGUGAUGCCAAGUUAAAGAAGGAUUAUGUUUGUAUGGGAAUUUAAAAAAAAAAAUUAAUUCUUACUGGAAUUUUUAGCCCUUUCUCAAAAAACAUUUCCAGUAGAGACAGUUUUCAAUUUUAGGAAAGUAUAAAAUUUAGUAGUUGAAGAAAGACGGACAAAGUAAGCACAUACCGUCAUUACUCUUCGGUCAUUGGUAUCCAAAGAUUAUCGGUCAUUACUCAUUAGUACCCAAAUAUUUAAUUUUAGAAAGGAGUAUAAGAAAUUAAUUAGAGAAUCAAAGUAGAGCGAUAAAUCCCGGUAAAAAAGCAUUAAAAUCCGGGUUGUUACCGUAAUAGGCACCAAACGUUAUUACUCAUUAGUACGUAUCCAAAGAUUUAAUCGAAUACAAUAUAUAUAAAUACACAAGUUAAAAACUUACUCUCUCCCUCAUUCACAAGUUUACCUAAAAACCUAAGCCGUCUCUUUUUUGGUUUCUAAAUUUUCACAAUCACUAAUUUCAGUUGCAUUACAUGCAUCUUCUAAUCAUGGGUGUGCGCCUUUAUGAGAGAUGAUCAAUUACCCAGCCUAUCGAUGUUGGAAGACCUUUUUCUCUGUGCAGAAUUUGCAGAGUGACGAUAAUAGUGUUGAUGUAAUCCGAUUGGAACAGAUCGUCAACCUCCCAAGAUGGCCGGUUUACAAGAUCGAGACUCUGUUAAUAAGGCCGGUGCGGAAAUAACACUACAAGAUUUGAUGAAUCUAUUCAUUUGUUUUCCUCUGCUUCUGGGAUUUUCUUCUUCGUUUAGUUUAUUCUUUCUGAUAUUGUUUAACAGACUCUUGUUCGAUGUAUAAUGUAUUAUAAUAAUCUUUUUUUUUUGAAAAUUGUAUUAUAAUAAUCUUGACAUAUCUAUAUAAAUUUUUGUGUAU